rnacentral:rRNA from 1 species
AUUGAACGCUGGCGGCAGGCCUAACACAUGCAAGUCGAGCGGCAGCGGGAAGUAGCUUGCUACUUUGCCGGCGAGCGGCGGACGGGUGAGUAAUGUCUGGGAAACUGCCUGAUGGAGGGGGAUAACUACUGGAAACGGUAGCUAAUACCGCAUGACCUCGCAAGAGCAAAGUGGGGGACCUUCGGGCCUCACGCCAUCGGAUGUGCCCAGAUGGGAUUAGCUAGUAGGUGAGGUAAUGGCUCACCUAGGCGACGAUCCCUAGCUGGUCUGAGAGGAUGACCAGCCACACUGGAACUGAGGCACGGUCCAGACUCCUACGGGAGGCAGCAGUGGGGAAUAUUGCACAAUGGGCGCAAGCCUGAUGCAGCCAUGCCGCGUGUGUGAAGAAGGCCUUCGGGUUGUAAAGCACUUUCAGCGAGGAGGAAGGGUUCAGUGUUAAUAGCACUGUGCAUUGACGUUACUCGCAGAAGAAGCACCGGCUAACUCCGUGCCAGCAGCCGCGGUAAUACGGAGGGUGCAAGCGUUAAUCGGAAUUACUGGGCGUAAAGCGCACGCAGGCGGUUUGUUAAGUCAGAUGUGAAAUCCCCGAGCUUAACUUGGGAACUGCAUUUGAAACUGGCAAGCUAGAGUCUUGUAGAGGGGGGUAGAAUUCCAGGUGUAGCGGUGAAAUGCGUAGAGAUCUGGAGGAAUACCGGUGGCGAAGGCGGCCCCCUGGACAAAGACUGACGCUCAGGUGCGAAAGCGUGGGGAGCAAACAGG